rnacentral:tRNA from 1 species
GUGCUUGUGGUGUAGUGGUUAUCACAUCCGCCUAACACGCGGAAGGUCCCAGGUUCGAUCGCUGGCAGGCACA